UUUUUUUUUUUUUUUUUUUUUUUUUUUUUGAGAGGGAUCCAGGUUAUCUUAUCCCUGGCAGCAGCUCAGCCCACGUCAUGGAAUCACAGGAUCAUGAAGUCAUGGAAUCAAAGAGUAAUGGCAUCAUGGAAUAAAGGAAUCACUGAAGUUGGAAAAUCCCUCUAAAAUCAUGGAAUCCAAUGUUAAUCCAGCACUGACCCAGGUCUCCUAGUGUCACAUCCACGUGAAUUUAAAUUCCUCCUGGAAUAAGGAGUCCACUGCUGCCCUGGGAGAGAAAUUUUCCUGAUAUCCAACUUAAACCUCCCCUGAGCCAUUCCCUUUUAUCCCAUCUUUUGUUCCCUGGGAGCAUGGCCCAGUUCCCACCUAAUUCCAGAGACAGACUUGUAGGGAAUGAAAUUACUCCAGAUCCUCCUUUUUUCCAACAUUCCCUUCUCCCUCAGCCCCUCCUUAUCCGAUUUAUCCCAACCCUGGCCAGGAAAUUAUGGAGCAAACUUACCUCAGUCAUCCCAAAAUCAUUGCAUUGGGAAUUUUUGGGAAUUUGGAGCUGGCUGAAUGAGCCCAUUUGGGGCCCUACUGCCAGGAUGGGAAUAGGGAUAAAGAUCCAUAUGAUACGCCUGGGAACUGGGCUUGGAAAUCCUGGGAAAACAGGUGGAUUUUCUCUUAGCUGCUUAAAUCUACGACCGUGGUUAAUGGUGCAGCUGGCACUGAUCUCGCUGGGAAUAUCCAGGAUCCAUGGAAUGCUGGCACCCCAUCUCCACUCCCAAUUCUAUGGGGUGUUCCAGUGGGAUAAAAGGCAAUGGAUUCCCACUGUGCUGACACAGAAAUUCCCGGGUGCCAGCCCAGGAGCUCCGGGCGUUCCCAUUGCAGCCAGAGACCGGAAAAUAUUGAAUUAAACAAUAGAAGAGGCCAUAGAUUCCAUGGGGCCCCUUCACCUCCCAGAGCAACAGGAAACCUUUAAAUGCUCCUUUACUGUAAAGGAGGAAACUCCGCCAUGGAUUUGAGCCACAUAGCGUUCCCAGAAUUCCAUGGAAAACUCUGGCUUGGGAGGAGCAGGAAUAACCUUGGCUCCAGGGGGACAAUUCCAGGUUGUUGGAACCUCGCUGUGGGAUAAGGAUGCCCUGAUUAGGAAGUCUCAGCUUUCUUCCCAUUUCAGGAGCAUCCAUAAAAUCCUGGGAUAUCCCCAGUAGGAAGGGACCCGCAAAGAUCUCAACUCCUAAAAAUCCUGGGAUUCUCCUCAAUCUCACCCUCAGGAAUUGCCCCAGAUCCCACCCGUGGAACCUGCUCUGAUGCCGAAGGAAAAGCAGAAUUUGCUCCGUGCAUCCCAAGGAAUGUGUGAAUUUCGGGAUCAGCAGUUCUGGGAUUUUAAGAUCCAGGGUUUGUAGGGAGCCUCUAAGUCAAGGAAUUCCAGGGAAACCAUCCUGGAAUUUAGUGGAAUGUGCUUUUCCCGGUGUCCAAGGAAAUUGAUCAGCUCUCCUUAUCCUGAAAUCCAGUUAAUUUUCCUCUUUAUUCCUAUUAUCCCUGUCCAGGGAUUCCUGUCCUGCUCCCUCACUGGGGCUGGACCCCAAAUCCAUGCCGAGGGCUUGGAAAAAGUGGGAAAAGUGGAGAGGAGCCUGUGGAUGCUGGGAAUUAAUGAAUCCCUGAAUGGGGUGGAAUUUUCCUGGAGGAAUUCCCAUUUAAAGGGUCCCGCUCUCCUUUUCCAGGUAAAUCCCCUAUGGAAUCCCUUUUCCAUUCCUUGGAUCUUCUCUGAGCCUCCAACAAUUUGGAAUCCAUUAAUCCCACACAAUCCCAGAAUAUUUGGAAGGCAUUCUAAAAGACACGAUGUUCCAGGCCCCACUUUCAUGGGCUACUCCCAAAUUUCUCCGCCUCCUCCUCCCCCCUAACAACACCCCCCGCCCCCCCCCCGCUCCUUCCCGAGUUUCCCGAGGAAAGCCCGAAACGUGGAGAUUUGCUGCCCUCUCCUGGGAGCCGCCAAAUCAUGGGAUUUGGGAUGCUGUAAAAUGUCCAAGGCAUUCCCAGGAAUGACAAGAACUCUGGGAACAGAAUCCUUCCCAAAUUCCAGAAAAAACAAUUUUGAAUCUUUUUUUCCCUCCUUAACCCUCCUUUUCCCCUCUUUAACCUCCUUACCCCAAUUUUUUUGGGAAUUGUGGGAACACCUGGAUUGGGAACAGGUU
rnacentral:lncRNA from 1 species